rnacentral:rRNA from 1 species
GGCCUACCAUGGUGGUAACGGGUAACGGGGUGUUAGGGCACGACACCGGAGAGGGAGCCUGAGAAACGGCUACCACAUCCAAGGAUGGCAGCAGGCGCGCAAAUUACCCAAUCCCGACACGGGGAGGUAGUGACAAUAAAUAACAAUACAGGGUUCUUUCGGAUCUCGUAAUUGGAAUGAGUACAAUUUAAAUCUCUUAACGAGGAACAAUUGGAGGGCAAGUCUGGUGCCAGCAGCCGCGGUAAUUCCAGCUCCAAUAGCGUAUAUUAAAGUUGUUGCAGUUAAAAAGCUCGUAGUUGAAUUUCGGGAUCAAAUUGUCGGUCGUGCCUCGGUACGUACUGGCGUUAUUGGUUCCUCCCUUCUGAAGAACCACGAUGUCAUUAAUUUGGUGUCGCGGGGAAUCAGGACUGUUACUUUGAAAAAAUUAGAGUGUUUAAAGCAGGCUCGCGCUUGAAUACAUUAGCAUGGAAUAAUGAAAUAGGACGUUUGAUUCUAUUUUGUUGGUUUCUAGGAUCGACGUAAUGAUUAAUAGGGAUAGUUGGGGGCAUUAGUAUUCAAUUGUCAGAGGUGAAAUUCUUGGAUUUAUUGAAGACUAACUACUGCGAAAGCAUUUGCCAAGGAUGUUUUCAUUAAUCAAGAACGAAAGUUAGGGGAUCGAAGACGAUCAGAUACCGUCGUAGUCUUAACCAUAAACUAUGCCGACUAGGGAUCGGAUGAUGUUAAUUUUUUAAUGACUCAUUCGGCGCCUUACG